rnacentral:misc_RNA from 1 species
CGCACCUUGCGCUCCUUGGUAUUCCGAGGAGCACGCCUGUUCGAGUGUCAUGAAACUCUCAAACACUAGAUUUUUGUUAAUCAAGUGUUUGGACUUGGGCUUUGCUGCGAAAGCGGCUGGCCUUAAAUAUAUCAGCUAGUCUCUUGAUUGAGAUUUGGUUCUACUCGACGUGAUAAUUAUCUAUCGUUGAGGACAUUGCUUGUCGCAAGACUCGUGAUGGCCAGGACUCUCAAAGACUGCUUCUAAUCGUCUUGCAAAGGACAAUACUUUCAUCAUUUGACCUCGAAUCAGGUGGGACUACCCGCUGAACUUAA